rnacentral:rRNA from 1 species
GAUGAACGCUGGCGGCGUGCCUAAUACAUGCAAGUCGAGCGAACAGAUAAGGAGCUUGCUCCUUUGAAGUUAGCGGCGGACGGGUGAGUAACACGUGGGUAACCUACCUAUAAGACUGGGAUAACUUCGGGAAACCGGAGCUAAUACCGGAUAACAUUUAGAACCGCAUGGUUCUAAAGUGAAAGAUGGUUUUGCUAUCACUUAUAGAUGGACCCGCGCCGUAUUAGCUAGGUGGUAAGGUAACGGCUUACCAAGGCGACGAUACGUAGCCGACCUGAGAGGGUGAUCGGCCACACUGGAACUGAGACACGGUCCAGACUCCUACGGGAGGCAGCAGUAGGGAAUCUUCCGCAAUGGGCGAAAGCCUGACGGAGCAACGCCGCGUGAGUGAUGAAGGGUUUCGGCUCGUAAAACUCUGUUAUUAGGGAAGAACAAAUGUGUAAGUAACUGUGCAUAUCUUGACGGUACCUAAUCAGAAAGCCACGGCUAACUACGUGCCAGCAGCCGCAGUAA